ensembl:misc_RNA 7SK 7SK RNA
GGAUGUGAGCGCAAUCUGGCUGUGACAUUUGUCACCCCUUUGAUCACCAUGGUUGAUUUGGCUGAUCUGGCUGGCUAGGGAGGUGUCCCCUUCCUCCCUCACCACUGCAUGUGCCUGUGUCCCUCUCUGAAGCUGCAUACUUGAUGGAAGAAGACGACCUUCCCUGUUAGAGAAGGACCAUUCUUCAGUCAAGGGGAGACAAGUAGCUGCACUCCUCUGCUAGAACCUCCAAACAAGUUCUCCAGGUCCAUUCGUAGGAGAAUGUGGGGCAGUCAAGCUUCCACAACUCCAGACACCUCCAAAUGAAUUACAGCUUGUGGACGUUUGCCUUUCUUA